GAUGAACGCUGGCGGCGUGCCUAAUACAUGCAAGUCGAGCGAACGGACGAGAAGCUUGCUUCUCUGAUGUUAGCGGCGGACGGGUGAGUAACACGUGGAUAACCUACCUAUAAGACUGGGAUAACUUCGGGAAACCGGAGCUAAUACCGGAUAAUAUUUUGAACCGCAUGGUUCAAAAGUGAAAGACGGUCUUGCUGUCACUUAUAGAUGGAUCCGCGCUGCAUUAGCUAGUUGGUAAGGUAACGGCUUACCAAGGCAACGAUGCAUAGCCGACCUGAGAGGGUGAUCGGCCACACUGGAACUGAGACACGGUCCAGACUCCUACGGGAGGCAGCAGUAGGGAAUCUUCCGCAAUGGGCGAAAGCCUGACGGAGCAACGCCGCGUGAGUGAUGAAGGUCUUCGGAUCGUAAAACUCUGUUAUUAGGGAAGAACAUAUGUGUAAGUAACUGUGCACAUCUUGACGGUACCUAAUCAGAAAGCCACGGCUAACUACGUGCCAGCAGCCGCGGUAAUACGUAGGUGGCAAGCGUUAUCCGGAAUUAUUGGGCGUAAAGCGCGCGUAGGCGGUUUUUUAGUCUGAUGUGAAAGCCCACGGCUCAACCGUGGAGGGUCAUUGGAAACUGGAAAACUUGAGUGCAGAAGAGGAAAGUGGAAUUCCAUGUGUAGCGGUGAAAUGCGCAGAGAUAUGGAGGAACACCAGUGGCGAAGGCGACUUUCUGGUCUGUAACUGACGCUGAUGUGCGAAAGCGUGGGGAUCAAACAGGAUUAGAUACCCUGGUAGUCCACGCCGUAAACGAUGAGUGCUAAGUGUUAGGGGGUUUCCGCCCCUUAGUGCUGCAGCUAACGCAUUAAGCACUCCGCCUGGGGAGUACGACCGCAAGGUUGAAACUCAAAGGAAUUGACGGGGACCCGCACAAGCGGUGGAGUAUGUGGUUUAAUUCGAAGCAACGCGAAGAACCUUACCAAAUCUUGACAUCCUUUGACAACUCUAGAGAUAGAGCCUUCCCCUUCGGGGGACAAAGUGACAGGUGGUGCAUGGUUGUCGUCAGCUCGUGUCGUGAGAUGUUGGGUUAAGUCCCGCAACGAGCGCAACCCUUAAGCUUAGUUGCCAUCAUUAAGUUGGGCACUCUAAGUUGACUGCCGGUGACAAACCGGGGGAAGGUGGGGAUGACGUCAAAUCAUCAUGCCCCUUAUGAUUUGGGCUACACACGUGCUACAAUGGACAAUACAAAGGGCAGCGAAACCGCGAGGUCAAGCAAAUCCCAUAAAGUUGUUCUCAGUUCGGACUGUAGUCUGCAACUCGACUACAUGAAGCUGGAAUCGCUAGUAAUCGUAGAUCAGCAUGCUACGGUGAAUACGUUCCCGGGUCU
rnacentral:rRNA from 1 species